rnacentral:rRNA from 1 species
CACGUAGUUAGCCGUGGCUUUCUAAUAAGGUACCGUCAAGGUGCGUUCAUUACCUAACGCACUCAUUCUUCCCUUACAACAGAGUUUUACGAUCCGAAAACCUUCAUCACUCACGCGGCGUUGCUCCAUCAGACUUUCGUCCAUUGUGGAAGAUUCCCUACUGCUGCCUCCCGUAGGAGUUUGGGCCGUGUCUCAGUCCCAAUGUGGCCGAUCACCCUCUCAGGUCGGCUAUGCAUCGUUGCCUUGGUAGGCCGUUACCCACCAACUAGCUAAUGCACCGCGGGCCCAUCCUGUAGUGACGCCGAAGCGCCUUUUAGCUUAAAGCCAUGAGGCUAAAGAAUUAUCCGGUAUUAGCUCCGGUUUCCCGAAGUUAUCCCAGUCUACAGGGCAGGUUGCCCACGUGUUACUCACCCGUCCGCCGCUAAAUCAGAGAAGCAAGCUCUCAUCAUUCGCUCGACUUGCAUGUAUUAGGCACGCCGCAGCGUCUCUGACGCCAGGAC